rnacentral:rRNA from 1 species
AUUGAACGCUGGCGGCAGGCCUAACACAUGCAAGUCGAGCGGAUGAAGGGUGCUUGCUCCUGGAUUCAGCGGCGGACGGGUGAGUAAUGCCUAGGAAUCUGCCUGGUAGUGGGGGAUAACGUCCGGAAACGGGCGCUAAUAACGCCUACGUCCUGAGGGUGAUAGUGGGGGAUCUUCGGACCUCACGCUAUCAGAUGAGCCUAGGUCGGUUUAGUUAGUUUGUGGGGUAAAGGCCUACCAAGGCGACGAUCCGUAACUGGUCUGAGAGGAUGAUCAGUCACACUGGAAGUUAGACAGGGACCAUACUCCUACGGUAGGCAGCAGUGUGGAAUAUGGGACAGUGGUCGAAAGCCUGGUCCAGCGAUGCCGCGUGUGUGAAGAAGGUCUUCGGAUUGUAAAGCACUUUAAGUUGGGAGGAAGGGCAGUAAGUUAAUACCUUGCUUUUUUGACGUUACCAGCAGAAUAAGCACCGGCUAACUUCGUG